rnacentral:rRNA from 1 species
ACGGAAAGACCCCGGGACCUUCACUACAGCUUGACAUUGGCGUUUGGAGCGUCUUGUGUAGGAUAGGUGGGAGACUGGGAAGCUCCGACGCUAGUCGGGGUGGAGUCAUUGGUGAAAUACCACUCUGGUCGUUUUGGACGUCUAACCCGCGCCCGUGAAUCCGGGUGGGGGACAGUGUCUGGUGGGUAGUUUAACUGGGGCGGUUGCCUCCUAAAAGGUAACGGAGGCGCCCAAAGGUUCCCUCAGCCUGGUUGGCAAUCAGGUGUCGAGUGUAAGUGCACAAGGGAGCUUGACUGUGAGACUGACGGGUCGAGCAGGAGCGAAAGCUGGGACUAGUGAUCCGGCAUCGGCGUGUGGAAGCGGUGUCGCUCAACGGCUAAAAGGUACCCCGGGGAUAACAGGCUGAUCUUCCCCAAGAGUCCAUAUCGACGGGAUGGUUUGGCACCUCGAUGUCGGCUCGUCGCAUCCUGGGGCUGGAGUAGGUCCCAAGGGUUGGGCUGUUCGCCCAUUAAAGCGGUACGCGAGCUGGGUUUAGAACGUCGCGAGACAGUUCGGUCCCUAUCCGCUGCGCGCGCAGGAGACUUGCGAGGGGCUGUCCCUAGUACGAGAGGACCGGGACGGACGAACCUCUGGUGUGCCAGUUGUUCCGCCAGGAGCACGGCUGGUUGGCUACGUUCGGUAGGGAUAACCGCUGAAAGCAUCUAAGCGGGAAGCUCGCCUCAAGAUGAGGUCUCCCACCACGAGAGUGGGUAAGGCUCCCUAUAGACGAUGGGGUUGAUAGGCCGGAAGUGGAAGCGUAGUAAUGCGUGGAGCUGACCGGUACUAAUAGGCCGAGGACUUGACCAUAU